rnacentral:lncRNA from 1 species
AUGGCAACUAAACAUUUUCUGUCCAUCUGGGGAUGGGGGGGUCUUGGAGUUGUGCUGUUUUUUGUCACCUUUGGACCUUUCGCCAUAUUUUACCUGGCAUUUUAUAUCUUCUGCUUCAUUGGAGGGGGAUUUGCGGUUACAUUGCUUUACGGGAAGAUAAACUCAGAGAAACACUUGGAAAAGUGCGAACAUUCAUACCUGCCACCUACACAACCCGGUAUUCUGAAGACACUUGAUGAGAUGAAGCUGGAGCUGAAGCCUAUAAAGAUUGACAGGAGACUGACUGGCUCCAGUUUCAUUGAUGAGCCACUACAGCAGGUGAUCCAGUUUGCACUGAGAGACUAUAUUCAGUACUGGUACUACACUCUGAGUGAAGAUGAGUCGUUCCUGUUGGAGAUCAGACAAACACUGCAGAAUGCCCUCAUCCAGUUCUCCACACGCUCAAAAGAAGUGGACUGGCAGCCUUACUUCACUACACGCCUGGUGGACGACUUUGCCACACAUCUACGUGUCUUCAGAAAAGCGCAGGAUCGCCUGGCUGAGCGGGAGGACAAGCAAAGGGACACCACAGAAGAGCUGGUCGACUCCUUCUUCGAGGCAGAGGUGGAGAUGGAGAGGAAGGUUUGUCGAGACAUGGUGUGCACCUCACACAAAGAUGAAGAAGGUUUUCUUCGGGACUUGUGCGAGUUGCUUCUCUAUCUUUUACUACCUCCCGGAGACUUCCACAACAAAAACAUGAGAUAUUUUUUGAGGGAAGUUCUAGCGUGUGGUGUGCUGCUGCCUCUGAUCAACCAGCUAAGCGACCCAGAUUACAUCAACCAGUUUGUCAUCUGGAUGAUUCGGGACUCCAGCUGUAACUAUGAAGCCUUCAUGAACAUUUUGAAGUUAACAGACAAGCCUACUGAGUUGGAGGCAGUUAAAGACAAGGUUCUGGAGGAGCUGCAGUACUUGCGCUCUCUGGACACUGCUGGAGAUGACAUCAAUGUGAUCAAGAACCAGAUUAACAGUCUUCUGUUUGUGAAGAAGGUGUGUGAGACCAGGAUCCAGAGACUCCAGUCCGGAAAGGAGGUCGACGCCUUGAAACUGGCGGCCAACUUUGGGAAGCUGUGUGUGAUCCCUCUAGAACACAUCCUCGUCCAUAACAUUGCACUGCAGUUCUUUAUGGACUUUAUGCAGGCGGCGGGUGCUCAGGCGGAGCUGUUCUUCUGGCUCACUGUUGAGGGCUACAGGGUGACGGCCCAGCAGCAGCUGGAGGCCAUGCUGAGCUGCCAGAAAGACGGCAAGAAGCAGCCCAGCGCCACAAAGGGGCUGCUGAAAGCUGCUGCUCUAGGUGUUUAUGAACAAUACCUCUCUGAAAAGAUGGUCUUAAACAAAAUAAUGAAAAAUACAUUUUAUUUUCUGUUUUUUAAUCUAUUUUAG